UGUAUUUUGAAUGCUGCAAAUCCAGCCUGCGUGCAGUGUAAGUGAUCAACAAUUCUGAAUGAAAAUAGUUCAAUUGGAUGAAUAACUAUGGRACAGUGUUAUGUCAUAACCUAAGAAAAAUAAUUUUCUAAAUAAAAUCCAAGGAUUCAGAUGCAUUCAAGACGUUCUCUUUAUCAAAUUAUUAUAACAAAUAAUAAUAAGUAUGAAGCUCUACAUUUUAAAUUCCAACCAAAAAGAAGGAGAGUCUGUUACAUCAUGGGAUCAAUGGAUAUAUUUUUCAUUUUCUUACGACUGACGAUAAGAAGAUUUUCAUUGAUUUGAUGGUCUUCCUUAAAAGAGUUUCAUUCUACAAUAUUAUGCGAAUAGAAUGCAGCUGCAGUGACAACGAAUAAUCAAGACGAGAGUCUAGUUGGAAAAGUACACGUCAUAUUAUUGAAGCAGACUGAAAAUAUAGUCGAUUCCCAUCAUAUCUGAGAACUUACAAAAGUUUCCUGGUACUAAAAAGACAACCAGAAGACAUCCAAUGGAUUUUUAACACACAUCAGCAACUUGAAAACAACGUACUACGUUCUGUAUUUAAAUUUUUAUAUAAAUUACAAUUUAUCAAUGUUAUAAAUAAACUGUACAUUACAGAAUUGUAAA